CAACUUCCACCUGGCAUACCUCUUCAGUUAUUUUGUACGGCUUUGUUGACCGUAUUGUGGGUUUCCUGUAUUAAAUUCCAACUCGGUGGUACUUUUCUUAUCAUCAUAGUCCCUUUUCAUCUUUUGUUGUGUAUGUGAUUUAAGAUGAACCAUAAAGUGAUCUCUUUGUCCCACCCUCUUUAUGAAAAUGUAUCGAAGUUGUGGCGCAAUGAACGUUGCUGGUUGUCAGGGAUAUGGAACAUUAUACAAGGCAUUGGGUCUUACGGCUCUUGUUUGUCCUUGUUUUGUAUGACUUCGAAAUGACAGUUCAUGCGUGUUUUGGCUUGUACCCUGCACGAUGUUCUUUGUCAACGAGGAAUGCUACCUGGUUGAUCCUGCCAGUAGUCAUAUGCUUGUCUCAAAGAUUAAGCCAUGCAUGUGUAAGUA
rnacentral:misc_RNA from 1 species